GGUUCCUUAGUGUAGUGGUUAUCACGUUCGCUUUACACGCGAAAGUUUUCCGGUUCGAUCCCAGACGGAGCCA
rnacentral:tRNA from 1 species